AUGAAUGCACUGGUUAGCUCCAUGACCCGUGAACUUGAUUACUACUGGACACUGGGUGAGGUCCCUGACAAUGGUGAAACGUCAUGUGUCAUCUACAAAGUCCAGGAGCACAUUCGCAUGCUUAACAAUUUCUCAUACAAACCUUGCGUACUGUCAAUUGGGCCUUAUCACCAUGGAUCUCAGGCCCUACAGAAUGUACAGAAAGAGAAAUGGAGCUAUCUAGAUUAUAUUCUAAAAAUAAAAUGUGAUAAAAACUUGCUGGAUUACCUACUUGCACUUGAAGGCCUAGCAAAGCUAGCAAGGAAUUGCUAUUCGGAGGACAUUAAAAUGGACAGCGAAGAGUUUUUGCAAAUGCUGUAACUUGAUGGGUGCUUUGUCUUGGUAGCUCUUGGUGGAACAAGAUGUAUUUUAGCAGGCAUGGUGGAAAACGAAGGACAGAACAAACCUCAUUCUGAUGAUUCUAAUGGGGACAAUAAGACACAAAACCAAACUAUGGGUCAAGAAGAUGGUAAAGAUGACAGACAGGGGGAGGAACGCAGUACAUAUGAGGAUGAAAUUGGACCAUGGUUUUUCAGAUUUUUAAUUCAUGAUUUAUUCUUGCUGGAGAAUCAAAUACCUUUCUUCAUUGUGAAGGAGAUAUUCAAGGUAGUUGCUGGUGACAACAUCUGUAUUGAUGAACCAUUUACUGAUGAUAUAGCGAAGUAUGUGGAAGGUGCUUUGCGGUGGUUUCCAAAAUCAAUCCAAGAGCAUGAUAGGCCAAAAGACUUCCACCAUUUGCUUCAUUUGUGCCAUAUGUACUUCAAAGCCAAGUCGGAAAGAAGAGAACUAUCAAGCAGGGCCACUGUAUCUUCACAGAUUUCUUAA
rnacentral:rRNA from 1 species